rnacentral:rRNA from 1 species
UACGUAGGGUCCGAGCGUUGUCCGGAAUUAUUGGGCGUAAAGGGCUCGUAGGCGGUCUGUUGCGUCGGGUGUGAAAACUUACAGCUUAACUGUGAGCGUGCUUCCGAUACGGGCAGACUUGAGGUAUUCAGGGGAGAACGGAAUUCCUGGUGUAGCGGUGAAAUGCGCAGAUAUCAGGAGGAACACCGGUGGCGAAGGCGGCGUUCUGGACUGCUACUGACACUGAGGAACGAAAGCCAGGGGAGCAAACGGG